CUCAGAACUCUGUGGUUAAAGCACUUCUGCAGGAGUUACCUUGAUUCUGAACCUUUAUAGUGCAUUGCUGAAACGGAAGGUGAUGUACUGCAGUGUGAAGCACUUGAGCUCGAUGUAACCAUGCCUGCGUUGUGCCUCAUUUUCAGAUUGGGAAGUGAGUGUCUGCAUUAAUCCAUCCUGCAAUGAACGUUUGCCCUAAGCCAAGCUCAAGCUGGGGCAUGACAAGAUGUGUCACAGGAGGUUUCCACACCUGGAUAAGUCAUCUCAUGCUCUGAAUUGUUUCCUGUACAGCACCAAUUCCACCGUGUUCUGCUGAGCACAACAAGCAGCCACUUCUCAGCACUGCUGCCUUGGUGGCAGUGCUUUGCUGACGGCCACUGCCUGCAGGGCCUCUCUGCCAGAGCCCAGCCAGUUCUGCAGCUGCUUCUGUCCAUCCUAUCUCAUAAUGCUGCUUUAUAAAAAGACCCAUGAAGUCAUCAGUGUUCAGCCUCCCAUGUAAUCAUUUUCAAGAAAACGAGCUGAAAGGCUGCCAGACUCAGUGAAAAAUUUAAUGAAUACAGUUUUGCUCCUCCCUGCUUCCCUACUGUACAGGAAAGCUGUAUCACUGAGCCUCUUACAGAGUGAGGUGAGAUGGGGAGGUCAGGACAGCAAGUGGGCAGGGACACCUGUGUGCUGUGGGGUGAGGAGGAUGGGGCUCACCCAAACACAAGGACAGAGCGAAGGGUGGGAGUUCUUGAGCCUGCUGGUACCAGUGCUGACGGUGCUGUGCAGUGAAGGGUGAAGAAAUUGUAUUUUGUAUUUUUUUUCUUUCCCGACUGUUUCUUUUUAUUCCAUCUUUGGUGUGAGUUAUUUUGGUAAAAUCACCAUUUGAGUGUCUGAUGGAAGCAUCAGUGAAGGACUUCUAGUUUCUAGAAGUCAGUGUUGGCUCAUGAGCUCCUGCAAAUGACACUAGAGUCUAUUGCUCUUAGUACAGAGGGGCACAACACCAGAUGAGUUAAAUAUUACUUGUGGUGGUGCCGUUCCUUAAUACAAUGACUUUACUGACUGCACUACUGAAGCUGUUAUCUUACUGUCUGGUGCUACCACAGAGGUGAGCAAUACGAGCAACAGAGGGCCUGCUUGUGGCUGGUAAUAACAGUCCAGAGGAUUUCUCAUGGUGGCUGUUGCAUUAAUGACCUUUGUGUUGUGUUAAUGGCCUUUCAUGGAGCGUUCUGCCACUGGGAAUUGCUUCUGCAAAGUAUUACUGGCCACAACUUAGGACUCUUAAUAUUUGAUGGACUACUGCAGAUUGUAUUUCAGGAUAUGGGAUACCAUCCCAGCAAUGCAAGUUAGGAAUGCUAAGCAUGUUGCAGUCCUUCCCCUUCGUUUUACUGUUGGAGGUGUUGGUAACCUCUCAUAGAAAUGUGCUAGAAGAGCAGAGAAAAGGAGAGAGACUUCUAAGUACAGCUCCUAAAGACACUGGUUUAGUAAAGUCCAUAACACUCAGGUUGACACGUGCUGCUCUCAUUAGUAUGUAGGCUAUCGCUUUGAAAGAAGCUCUUAUAAAACUGUGCACUUUAUUAGCCAAUUAUCAAGUUGGCAUCUUUCAGGUUAAGGAGACUCAAUGUCCACGAAUUGGACACUGAUGGGAAGAUUUAGUGAUCAGGGUAUCUCUUUGGGAUCAAAGCUCUAUGCGCUAUGCUAACCCUGAUCUUUUCUGGCAGUUCUUGUGGUCAUGCCCUUCAAUGACUCGUUUAGAAGCCCAUGUCUCCUAAGUUGCAUGCCUGCUGUCUCAGUUGGUGUGCGAACCAGCUUGCAGCUCUGGGGUGGCAGAGGGAUUCCCAGCAAGAGAGACCAAGCAUCAGUGCAUGACAGUGCUUAAUGAAUGAGCUCUGAAAUGAGCUCAGAAAUCUGAAAACCCCUUGGAAGGAUGGAUGCCACGAAGAAGACAGAAGGCAGCAUAGCUGUUGUACUGAAAAGGCGGCAGAGGUGAUGGCAGAACUGAGGGAGCGGUCAUGAUUUGUGCUGAAGGCAAAGUGUGUUCGGCUCUGUCCCUGCAUCUCGAAUGACCUCUGUCAGGAAACGCCUUUACACAAUGGUUGUUACUGUCCAUCCAUUUCUCUGUUGCUGUUGGGAUGAUGUGGAAAGUUGGCAGUGCUGUUCAAAGCCACAUGAAACUUUUCUGCUGCCAAGCUUCGUUAGAAAUAGACUUAAUGUGAUGACAAUAACUGAUCUGAAUGUGGACUGGGAUAUAAAUGAACUUGAGCUGCCUUGUGCUUUCUCAAGAAAUGGUUUCAGCUCAUUCCAUAAGAAACCACAGAAGAGCUUCUGAAUUCACUGUCUCUGCUCCAUGUGCCAACCAACCACUCCUACAGCGCAGCCAUCAUUAAGAAGAGGCCGUGACUGUGGUAUAAAAACAAACCCUUGGUUGUUUUUGUUGUUUUUUACACAUGGAUGGGCACUUCAGACUGUAAAGAACGGGAGCGAGAGAAGGUUCUCUUUAUGUCCUUCUUUUUUUGUUUUGUUUUUUGAUUUCCAGUGAGUUAAUUAGUCAGCUGUUAAUGAAUUACAAAACCAUUCAUAAUUAGAUACUGACUCCUCUCCCGGGAUCAGCGCAGAGCAGGGAGUCUGACUCACUGCUUGGUCAUUUUGAAAGUUACAAGGAAGAGAUGUUUGCAUAUGUGUCUGUGGUAUGGUUUGCACCAAACUGGUAUUCUAACACAUCAUUACAUCCCUCACAUUUCAUAGCCCCAUCUGUAAAUGCUGAACCCACACCUGCAGCUAAUUAAAAGAAAGCUCAGUUGAACCAUUAGAAAUGCACGAGUUCAACUCACUUGUGUAAGCUUUUCUUUCCUUGAGUACAGCGAGGUCCUUGUGAUGUGGCUUCUGCAUGAUUCUAAAAUGAUACGCCGCUUUAUCACAUAAUGAAUAGAAAGAAAAAUAAGGCAAAUACUGAGAAAUGAAGAAGUUUAGUCUUACAAGAGUGCCUUUUCCUUUGCUUGUCCGCUUAAAACCAUGCCUUAGUUACUAGGGUGCAAAAGAGACACUGCAGAAGUGCAUGCUAUGUAUUCAUUCCAAGUGCAGGUAUUUCUUUGCUUGAGCAAUGCUGUACUGCCAAGUUAAGUAUCAUAGGAUCAUAGAAUCCUAUGGCUUGGGUUGAAAAGGCCCACAAUGAUCAUCCAGUUCCAACCCCCUGUUAUGUGCAGGGUCGCCAACCAGCAGACCAGGCUGCCCAGAGCCACAUCCAGCCUGGCUUUGAAGCGGCACACCGAUUCAGUACUCAGAUCCUGACAAUGCCUUGCUCACAUGCUUCUGAUACUGUAGUUCUGUCCUGACAUGAAUUACUAGCUUUGCACCUGACACCAUCACCAAGUUCAUUCCAAAUCUAGAAACCACAGAUAGCCAAGCCUGUAUGGGUCUCAACCUGCUAAGCAUUCCUUGGGAAAAAAUACAAGGUAAUGAUCUGCCUCGAUAUCCAUACAGACUUCAGUGCCUUUGCACUAUGUUGGCACUUGCAGCACACAUACCUUAGUGAUGUGGCUACUGCAGCUUGUAACAGGUCAUGGUUCACACACCCAGUCACUACAGAGACUCUCUCCCACCUGUUAAGAAACUGUAAGAAAAACUGAAUAUAAGUAAAUCCUUCUAACAACUUCCAUAGGGAAAUCAAGAAUUUCGGUCCCUUCCAGCUCUCUCUUGUUAAAGCCUUCCUUACCCAGCACAUGAUGAAUGCUAAGGUAAAAGGGCACAGUAUGACAAGGAGAAGCUCUUACCUAAUUUCCUUUUCCCACCCCUUCCCUCUCAUUAUUAGUGGAUUUUCUGUCUCAUAUUUUCUACACCGGUUCCCUCCACCAUUGGGAUCCCUGAAGUGCAAAUGCAAACAUUGCUUGAGGGUCUCCCGACAGACACCACUAACAGCUAACUUAACAGGAAUUAUUUUACUUCCAAGGCUCUGGUGUUGUGAUCUUUGGUUAAAGUUUUCCUCCCAGAAUAAAUGGGCUUCAUGUUUAUUGCUUCUUGAUGGUUCCAGCACUUUCAGGUUGAAUAUUAGCAUCUUGCAGGUUGUAUAUCAUAAGCUAACAUACGUUCCGUGUGUUACGCUCUAUGGUACUCUUUAGAGAUGGCACUCCAAGGGAAAUUUUUAGAUAUCCAGUUAGCUCAGGUUGGAGCCCCAUAAAUGCUAAAGUUCACCUUUUUUUCCCAACUUUUCUGUACAGAAUCUGGCAGACAGAAAGGAAAGGCAAAAAGAAUGAAAAGCUGAUAAUAAUAGUCCAAAAAUAGAGACAAUGGCAUGAAGUUGUAUUAAAAUAUGUCCUUUUUCAAUGAUAGAAUGUUUGCUAAGUCCGGGUGGUCUACUGAUUAACUCAGGGGGUUAAAUAUAGCAGUUCUGAUGUCAGUAAGCUUAUCCACACAAAGGGCAAGACAUAGAGAAGCCAAAUAAAUCUCCAGCACAACAGAUUUCCUGUGUAUUUUCAGUCAACCAGAUGCAAGGAUGGAUAGAAAGUCUUUUGAAUCUAGUAAGUCCUCUCUUUCAAGGAGAAACUGCCAGCUUACAGUGUGCUGCUUGAGCUUCAUAAUGAGGGAUCCAGACUUGGAGAAUUAAAAUUCUUCUGAAAUCUGAUGUGGAAUCCAAAGAGUGAUGCAGUAUAAGAGAAACAGAAGGGAAUGAAUGAUCAAACCAAUGCAGAAACGUUACUAACCGAGGAGUGGUUGUAGAAAGCUACAUUUCUGCCUUAUAGGAGUGGAGGUUUACAGUAUGGUUGCCCUUUAGUCUUUGCAUAUUGAUCCUCCAUAUUUUGUCCUCUGUACGGAUCAGGCUCAGCUUUAUGUCACAUAUUUCUCAUAGCUGGAAUGCUGCCUCCCAAAAGGAACUUGAAAAGGCUCAGCUGAGGUUCUAGGGGAAAGAAACAAAAAAAACAGCAGUGUUUUUGUAUGUGAAUGCUGUGUGGGUUAGGAGUGCAAGUAUAUAUAGGCUGUUUUUUCAUUGCUUUUAUUGUGUAACUGCUAAUUAAAUCAAGAGGUUGCACACUAUUUCCUUCCCCUUGCCCCUUGCCAGAAGUGGUUACUGUUCAAUAAGUAAUAAUGACUGAACUUAAUAUUUAGAAGUGCUAAGAAGAAGAAAAUAUUUUCUGCCUUAUAAUCUUGGGCAAUUUAAAUGCAAAACAUCCUCCUCUGCCUUAUUCAUCUUGCACCAUUCUGAAUUUUUAGUUCAGAACUGCUGAGAACAUGCAUAUGUAUGUACUGUAGAUAAAGCAGUCUGGCCCAGUGUGCUAACCUGUACCCAACCUGCCAUGCUGGUAUCUCCCAGCAGAACUUUCGUAUUGCCUUUGAAACACUUGUUCUCUGAAAAGUCAGGCUCAGGCUGCUGCUUUCUGAAUACUCCAGCAAACAGUGGCUUGAAAUCCAAGGUGCAGACAUAAUUUUUCACUGUAAG
ensembl:lncRNA